CCUACGGGAGGCUGCAGUGAGGAAUAUUGGUCAAUGGACGAGAGUCUGAACCAGCCAAGUAGCGUGAAGGAUGACUGCCCUAUGGGUUGUAAACUUCUUUUAUAAGGGAAUAAAACGAGGCACGUGUGCCUUUUUGCAUGUACUUUAUGAAUAAGGAUCGGCUAACUCCGUGCCAGCAGCCGCGGUAAUACGGAGGAUCCGAGCGUUAUCCGGAUUUAUUUGGUUUAAAGGGAGCGUAGGUGGUUUGUUAAGUUAGUUGUGAAAGUUUGCGGCUCAACCGUAAAAUUGCAGUUGAGACUGGCAGUCUAGAGUACAGUUGAGGUAGGCGGAAUGCGUGGUGUAGCGGUGAAAUGCUUAGAUAUCACGCAGAACCCCGAUUGCGAAGGCAGCUUACUAAGCUACUACUGACAUUGAUGCACGAAAGUGUGGGUAUCAAACAGGAUUAGAUACCCUAGUAGUC
rnacentral:rRNA from 1 species